rnacentral:rRNA from 1 species
CACGUAGGCGGAUAUUUAAGUCAGGGGUGAAAUCCCGGGGCUCAACCUCGGAAUUGCCUUUGAUACUGGGUGUCUUGAGUAUGAGAGAGGUGUGUGGAACUCCGAGUGUAGAGGUGAAAUUCGUAGAUAUUCGGAAAGAACACCAGUGGCGAAGGCGACACACUGGCUCAUUACUGACGCUGAGGCUCGAAAGCGUGGGGAGCAAACA